rnacentral:rRNA from 1 species
UACGGGGGGGGCAAGCGUUGUUCGGAAUUACUGGGCGUAAAGGGCUCGUAGGUGGCCAACUAAGUCAGACGUGAAAUCCCUCGGCUUAACCGGGGAACUGCAUCUGAUACUGGAUGGCUUGAGUUUGGGAGAGGGAUGCGGAAUUCCAGGUGUAGCGGUGAAAUGCGUAGAUAUCUGGAGGAACACCGGUGGCGAAGGCGGCAUCCUGGACCGGCAUUGACGCUGAGGCGCGAAAGCCAGGGGAGCAAACGGG